CCCCCGGCCGGAUCCCGUGGGGGGAAUCCGUAACCGGGAAUGGAAGCGCCCCGCUCCGACCCGUGGGG
rfam:Streptomyces sparsogenes DSM 40356 contig00487, whole genome shotgun sequence.